rnacentral:rRNA from 1 species
UACGUAGGGUGCAAGCGUUAAUCGGAAUUACUGGGCGUAAAGCGUGCGCAGGCGGUUGUGCAAGACCGAUGUGAAAUCCCGAGGCUCAACCUCGGAACUGCCUUCGAUACUGGCGAUCUUGAGUCCGGGAGAGGUGAGUGGAACUCCGAGUGUAGAGGUGAAAUUCGUAGAUAUUCGGAAGAACACCAGUGGCGAAGGCGGUCCCCUGGGCCGGAACUGACGCUGAGGCGCGAAAGCGUGGGUAGCAAACGGGG